UACGGAGGAGGCAAGCGUUAUCCGGAAUGAUUGGGCGUAAAGCGUCCGCAGGUGGCAGUUCAAGUCUGCUGUCAAAGACCGGGGCUUAACUUCGGAAAGGCAGUGGAAACUGAACAGCUAGAGUAUGGUAGGGGCAGAGGGAAUUCCUGGUGUAGCGGUGAAAUGCGUAGAUAUCAGGAAGAACAUCGGUGGCGAAGGCGCUCUGCUGGACCAUAACUGACACUCAGGGACGAAAGCUAGGGGAGCGAAUGGG
rnacentral:rRNA from 1 species